rnacentral:pre_miRNA from 1 species
UCUUUGGUUUUCUAGCUGUAUGAUUGUAAAAUUUGUUGAAAUCACACACUAGAUUACCAAUUUC